AUUUUAAAUCUAGCCUAAAUAUAAAACACUAAUUCCUAAAACACAAAACAUUAUUACAUGAUAGUACGGGCGACAGAAAACUUUUUAGCGCAAUAGAAAAAGUACUGUAAAGGAAAGAUGAAAUAAAAAUGAAAUAAAAUAAAAAUAUAAAAAAGCAAAGACUGCGACUUUUACCUUUAGCAUAAUGAUCUAGCCAGUCUAUAUUAACACAAAGAAAUUUAGUUAUAUACCCCGAAACCACGCGAGCUACCAUAAGACAGCAAUAUACGAGCAAACCCUUCUCUGUAGCAAAAGAGUGGGAAGAACUUUUGGUAGAGGCGAAAAACCAAACGAGCCUGGAUAUAGCUGGUUACUUGAGAAUGAAUUUUAGUUCAACUAAAAGCAUGAAUAUUACAAAAUAAUAACGCUUUUAUUAUAAUUAAUUGAGGUACAGCCCAAUUAAUAAAGGAAACAACCUA
rnacentral:rRNA from 1 species